CCUACGGGUGGCAGCAGUGGGGAAUAUUGCGCAAUGGGCGAAAGCCUGACGCAGCGACGCCGCGUGAGGGAUGAAGGUCUUCGGAUCGUAAACCUCUGUCAGCAGGGAAGAACGGUCACUGUGCUAAUCAGCAGUGAAUUGACGGUACCUGCAAAGGAAGCACCGGCUAACUCCGUGCCAGCAGCCGCGGUAAUCCGGAGGGUGCGAGCGUUAAUCGGAAUUACUGGGCGUAAAGCGCUCGUAGGCGGUAUGUCAAGUCAAGGGUGAAAUCCCCGCGCUCAACGUGGGAACUGCAUUUGAGACUGGCAAACUGGAGUGUGUGAGAGGAUAGUGGAAUUCCAGGUGUAGGGGUGAAAGCCGUAGAUAUCUGGAGGAACAUCAGUGGCGAAGGCGACUAUCUGGCACAUAACUGACGCUGAGGAGCGAAAGCGUGGGUAGCAAACAGGAUUAGAUACCCGAGUAGUC
rnacentral:rRNA from 1 species